CAGCAGCCGCGGUAAUACGUAGGUGGCAUGCGUUGUCCGGAAUUAUUGGGCGUAAAGGGCUCGCAGGCGGUUUCUUAAGUCUGAUGUGAAAGCCCCCGACUCAACCGGGGAGGGUCAUUGGAAACUGGGAAACUUGAGUGCAGAAGAGGAGAGUGGAAUUCCGCGUGUAGCGGUGCAAUGCGUAGAGAUGUGGAGGAACACCAGUGGCGAAGGCGACUCUCUGGUCUGUAACUGACGCUGAGGAGCGAAAGCGUGGGGAGCGAACAGGAUUAGAUACCCGAGUAGUCCCUGUCUCUUAUAC
rnacentral:rRNA from 1 species